CCGGUUGAUCCUGCGGACUCCACUGCUAUCGGGGUAAGGCUAAGCCAUGCAAGUCGAAGGCCUCCGGCUCCGGGGGCCUGGCGUACGGCUGAGUAACGCGUGGCCAACCUGCCCUGCGGAGGGGGAUAACCCCGGGAAACUGGGGAUAAACCCCCAUAGGUGACCGGGUCUGGAAGGACCGGUCGUCGAAAGUCCCGGUCGGGGAUGCUCCGGCCGGGAGCCGCAGGAUGGGGCUGCGUCCUAUCAGGUAGUUGGUGGGGUAACGGCCCACCAAGCCUGUGACGGGUAGGGGCCCUGAGAGGGGGAGCCCCCAGAUGGACUCUGAGACAAGAGUCCAGGCCCUACGGGGCGCAGCAGGCGCGAAAACUCCGCAAUGGGCGAAAGCCCGACGGGGUUACCCCGAGUGCCACCCUCGUGGUGGCUUUUGCCCGCUCUAAAAAGGCGGGCGAAUAAGGGGAGGGCAAGUCGGGUGUCAGCCGCCGCGGUAAUACCCGCUCCCCGAGUGGUGGAGGCUAUUACUGGGCCUAAAGCGCCCGUAGCCG
rnacentral:rRNA from 1 species